CUGGGCGCGCGAGUAGCGCCGGAUUGGCUAGGAGAACGCGGAGCGAGUGCGCGCGAGACACGAACGCAGGUUCCGCCGAGCCCCAGACAGAAGCAAUCCCCUGCCGAGCCCGGCUCCUGGUCGUUUGUCAGCGACUCCGGCCGGCUUUUGGGGCUACCGAGCCCGCUUUCCCGAAGGAGAAAGAGAAAGGGCUCCAGGGAGCCUGGAAGUGCCUUAGAAAGCUGCUCGACUCGACCUGCCGGAGGAUUUCCCAACUCCAAGGCUGUUACCUACAGAAGGAUCCUCACUAGCGAAGCUUAGGAGCCUGCGGCAGAGCCCCUUGAGAAAGAACAGGCUUCUGCUCCCCGCACUGUCCCAUGGUUUUGUGGCUUCAGGCUUCUUCGCUAGAGGCUCUGCGUUUAGUUGAAAAACACCAAUCUUAGACAAUGAGAUUAGAGAAUGUUUUUCCCACCUGAGCUACAAUCACAAAGCUGGAAAUAGAACCCCGGUGGUGGCAAUUUUCAUUUCAGUAUUUGUGGGAUGUGAAAUUACCAUGAAAAUGGGUUUUGUUGACACUUAUCUUCAUGUGUCUUUCAUGAAGUGUUAUUAAUCACCUGUGGCUGUUUCACAUCGGUUUCUUAGUUCUUUCUAGCCCUUUCAACUUCUGAAUAAAACAUGUACACCCGUGUAUGUAUAGUUUUUCUUCUCAACAAUAGUAAAACUGGGAAGCAUAAAAAAUGAAAUGUCCCCAAAAAGUAUAAUUAUCAUUUGUACACAAUGAACAUCUCAAUUUGAUGGUUAUAUGAGUUUUAUUAUGCCAACUAGAACGUGGGCUAAUCUCUAACUGAAGAUUCAUAUUACGUAUUUCAUUUUAAAUAAUGGGAGUACAUAGGAGAUGAUGGGUGGAAUUGAAGUAGAAUAAAAUUAAUUAGCAAAAUUACUUUUGAGUAUGUAAUGCUAGUAUUUUUGACAGGAUUUAAAAAUGAAGCCAGAUCAUGAUCCCACUUCCUAUAAUAAUCUAUCACCAUAGAGCCUGGGAGCUUGUGGAUUCUGAACCAGUUUAAAUGAGAGGUAUAUAUGGGAAGUAUGUUUACUUUAUUUCAAACAAAGAUAAGCAAAUGUUGGUUACUUUACCUUUCUAUCUUUAUUCCCUCUAAGGGCCCAUAGUCUGAAAUGAUUUUAAAACGUCUUGUAUUUAUAGAGAAAUUCUAAUUCUGCCCACUAUAGAUUCUGUAACCUUAAAUAAAUUGGGGCCUUUUUCUACAUCCUUUAAAUAAAUUGGUAGAUAAGCACCCUUUCAAUUUAGAGUAUUCUAUUAUUAUUCAUGGAAAGAAGCUGGCAAUUUUGUUUCACAAGUAACAGAAAACAAGAGACUCUAAGAGCAGUGAUGGUGAAAUUCAUUAAAAUUUAAUUGGGAAGGGUGAAGAUGAAUUAAGCCUUUUAAAGUAUAUAGAGGUUUGUUUGUUAAAACUACUAAAAUUGUUGAAAAGUAAUGUUAAAAUAAAACUGGA